rfam:Oryza sativa Indica Group cultivar 93-11 Ctg035589, whole genome shotgun sequence.
AAAACCUCAAUUCCUGAGUUUCCGUGUAUAACAUUUGACCAUCCGUAUUAUUUGAAAAAAAUAUGAAAAAAAUUUAAAAAGAUAAGUCAUGCAUAAAGUAUUGUUCAUGUUUUAUCAUCAAACAAUAAUGAAAAUACUAAUCAUAAAAAAACUUCAUAUAAGACGGACGGUCAAACGUUGGACACGGAAACCUAAGAAUUGAGUCUUU